CACGUAGUUAGCCGGUGCUUCUUCUCUAGGUACCGUCACAUAACGCUUCGUCCCUAGCGAAAGGAGUUUACAACCCGAAGGCCGUCAUCCCCCACGCGGCGUCGCUGCAUCAGGCUUGCGCCCAUUGUGCAAUAUUCCCCACUGCUGCCUCCCGUAGGAGUCUGGGCCGUAUCUCAGUCCCAAUGUGGCCGUACACCCUCUCAGGCCGGCUACCCGUCGACGCCUUGGUAGGCCAUUACCCCACCAACAAGCUGAUAGGCCGCGAGCUCAUCCCACACCGAAAAAACUUUCCACCACAACCUCCAAGAAGUGGUCCUAUCCGGUAUUAGACCCAGUUUCCCAGGCUUAUCCCGAAGUGCGGGGCAGAUCACCCACGUGUUACUCACCCGUUCGCCACUCGAGUACCCAAGCAAGCUUGGGCCUUUCCGUUCGACUUGCAUGUGUUAAGCACGCCGCCAGCGUUCAUCCUGAGCCAGGAUCAAACUCU
rnacentral:rRNA from 1 species